UGACACAUAGGUUCUCAUACGAUCAACGAAGUUAAGCAACGUCGAUCCUGGUCCGUACCUAGAUGGGUGACUGCUUGGGAAUGUCAAGUGCUGUAAG